UACGGAGGAUGCGAGCGUUAUCCUGAUUUAUUGGGUUUAAAGGGUGCGCAGGCGGAUUUUUAAGUCAGCGGUCAAAUCGUGGGGCUCAACCCCAUCCAGCCGUUGAAACUGGGGAUCUAGAGUGUGCGAGAGGUAUGCGGAAUGCGUGGUGUAGCGGUGAAAUGCAUAGAUAUCACGCAGAACCCCGAUUGCGAAGGCAGCAUACCGGUGCACAACUGACGCUCAGGCACGAAAGCGUGGGUAUCGAACAGG
rnacentral:rRNA from 1 species